GAAACUCUUAAAAAAAAGAGAGUAAAUAAAAAGAGAGGUGAAGUGAUACAAAAGUCACUCUGUUUGGUUUUUUAGUUGAUCUAUAAGAGGAGAGCAUAUGAAAAACGUAACCGAUUCUUUCCUUUCUUUGGGCCACUGGCCAUCUGCUGGGAGUUUCGGGUUUAAUACCGAUAUUUUUGCAACAAAUCCAAUAAAUCUAAGUGUAGUACUUGGUGUAUUGAUCUUUUUUGGAAAGGGAGUAUUGAGUGAUUUGUUACAUAAUCGAAGC